rnacentral:lncRNA from 1 species
UAAAUAACCUUAAAAAAAAAAAAAAAAGGCAAGCAGAAGACUGCUCAGCAGCUUUUGAUACAGAGAUGACGACGCUGGUCCCCGAUGCCGCUCAUUCCAACUGUGUACAUCUGCUUAACCAGCAAGUCCACAGCAAGGGCGCACCAGCGGUCUCGUUCGGAGCAAGCCGGGUGGCCUGGUGUACGCAGCAGAAGCCCGAGGGCAUUGACCUGGCGCGUUUCUCCAGCAACGAACAUCGUCUGCCCCGGGACUGUGUCUCCGGCCAGGCCUGAAGCCAAAGCCCUGGCGAAUCUACCCCCCAGCGCCGAGCCGCGAGCCGCGAGCCACAGCGGCCUGCGCCCACCGCCGCCCUCGGAGCCGCCUUCCUGGCGCCGCCGCCCUGGGCCCUCUGCCCCCCUCGGCGGGAACCGACUCCCAUUUCCUCCUCUCAGAGCGGUCUUCCGUCUACGCGUCUUCUGGGCUCCCUGUGUGGGGUGCUUUUUUUUUUUUUUUUUAAUUUUUAUUUAUUUACGCAUGAGAGAGAGAGGCAGAGACACGGGAGGAGGGAGAAGCAGGCUCCAUGCGGGGAGCCCGACGUGGGACCCGAUCCCGGGACCCCAGGACCACGCCCUGGGCCGAAGGCGGCGCUAAACCGCCGCGCCGCCCGGGGUCCCUUGCGGUGCUUUCAGUGUCGGUUCAGGGGGUCGGGAUCGCGCGGCCGGCCGCUCCCCUCCCGCCCCGCCUCCGCAGCCCCGGCCCCCACCCGCCGGGCCCACGGAUCACGCGGCGAGCCCGGCGCGUCACAAGGGCGCCCUCGCGGCCCCGCCGCCCGCCGCCCGCCGAGGGUCCAUCCGCGCCGCUCCCUGCGUCCUUCCAGCCGCGUCUUCGGGAGAAGAAGGUGGGGUUCCGCGGGGAAGCGGCCGGCGGUCACGCCAGCAGCCGGAAGUGGGGUGGGGGCGCGGGCUCUCCGGGCAGCGGCCCUCGGGUGCUGGGGUGCGGCCGAGCGGGGACUGGGCGAGCCCGGAGCAAGCGGGCUGCGGGAAACGCCGCGUGCGCCCGACGGGCGGGAGUUGUGCGCCGGGGCCGGCCGCGCGCCAGGCCCCGCCCCUCGGGGCCCCGCCCAGGGCGCGCUGCCAGGGGUUUCCAUGGUGAUGGUAAACAAGCCUCAACUGCCUCAGCUACAACUGCCAAGUUCCCCGCGUUCCACCCUCCUCUAGGUGCUCAGAGGGACGAUCGAGGUGCCGGAUGUGAAGAGCGGGAGCGUGGAGACCCGGAGCCCGAGCUACAAAAGAUUGUACCCAAACUAGUUUGAUGCUGCCCUAUCCAGUGUCCCUUCUCUGAUGCUUGGUCUUGAAGGCAGUGAAAGCCCACCUCACCCUGGUGCUAUUUGCUGAGAGGUACAGAAUUUCCAGAGUUGAAGAUGGGGCAUCAGGUGUUCAUUUUUUGUUGAAGUCUAAUCAGAAGAUUAUAUCAAAUGGACUUAAAAAAAUAGAGAAGCCAUGGAACACAGAUAUAUUAAAGUAUUCAAAUCCCACAGAACUGAAGCAGAUCGGUGUUGAUGGGCAGUGACUAUAUAGUAUUAGUCAAAACAGCUCAAGCUGAUAUAACUUGUUUUAUAGGAAAACUCCACUGACUUCAGUCUAACCUUAUACAGAGAGCCCAGGAACAAUGAGCAGCUGUUAUUACAGAAGUGGAAGCUGUGUAACCGAUUUGCACCAUUAACUUGUGAAAUCAGUAUUUAAAAAAAAAUUUCCUUUUCAGUAUUUUGUAAUGCCUCAAAAUGUCUCUUGCAUUUUGAGCUUAUUCCAAUUUAUAUUGUAUAAGUAUACCUCAGAAAUUAAAUAUGUAUAUUGAAAUGAUUUCAGCUAUGUAAAAUAAAACUUUUAUACCAUGUUGCUCUUGAACA